AUGGCAGUGAGCAGGUGGUGAAUGGUUGGGGGUUGCAUCAAUGAAAUGGAGGGAGGCUGUUGAAAAAAUGUUAGCAUUGGAGGGAGAGAAUAUAAUCAUUUUAAUCUUGGAUAGAUUGAGUUUUUGGAAUUGCGCAGCCAGCAAGCUAAAAACAAAGGCGAGGCAAUUAGUGACACACAAUCAUUGCGUCACUAAUUGGCUGGGGUAAGCAGUGAUGAGUACACUGCCAGUCUUUGAAUGGCAAAGGCUGGCAACAUCCAAUCCAGAGUCUGUAUGUUUAAAAGUCAACAAAUGUGCUUAACAAGUGAUUAGGAAUAAAAAUGUAACAAAUCAUAAAUCUGGUGCCCAGGGUAUAGAUGUGAUUUUGUAAGUGUUACUUAUUGCAGUUGAAACAAAAUCAUUGUUCAGGAGUCAAAAUCAACAAACUAGAUAGUUACACUCCUGUUGUGUAGUGUAAAUAAUUCUAGUCAAACAUAUAUUGUACAGAAAUAGAGGAACAAGAGUUGACUAAUGAGAAGAAUGUAAUAUUAGGAGUAUAUAAAUCACAAUGUGGGACUUAAUGCAAACUAAAGCCCUGGGAAUCCAAAUUGCAGGAGCAGGGUGAGCUAUUCCUACAGGAAUCUAUAGAAUCAGUAAAGUCCAUAUUUCACAACAGGGCAGGUGAUGAAUUAACAAACAAAGGUAACUUUAGUCCAGAGAAUGAACUACUGAAAUCUUCAAGUACUUUUAAUAAUGUGUAUUUGCUUUGAUUACCGGUUUCCAUGCUAUAUUAGCUGACGGUAGUAACUUUUAUUGUACUUUAGCUUCUGGGAAUAACACUCAUUAACAAUGACUUAUAAUUUUUAAAAUAAACCUUCCAAUAUAAAAGAACACAGUAUUUUGCAAAACAUUGUAAAUAAAAGACUACUUGGUAUGCAGAUGUUUUUCUUUAUGUUUCAUCAGAUGAUGAAUUGUCUUCCUAUUUAUUGUUAUUCAUUUUGUAAUAUAAUAAAAAUCAAAAACAAAGCAUUUCUGUAACCCACACCUUUGAUAGAAAUGACAAAGUCACAUAAAAAAUAAAAA